GAUGAACGCUGGCGGCGUGCCUAAUACAUGCAAGUCGAGCGAAUGGAUUAAGAGCUUGCUCUUAUGAAGUUAGCGGCGGACGGGUGAGUAACACGUGGGUAGCCUGCCCAUAAGACUGGGAUAACUCCGGGAAACCGGGGCUAAUACCGGAUAACAUUUUGAACCGCAUGGUUCGAAAUUGAAAGGCGGCUUCGGCUGUCACUUAUGGAUGGACCCGCGUCGCAUUAGCUAGUUGGUGAGGUAACGGCUCACCAAGGCAACGAUGCGUAGCCGACCGGGGAGGGUGAUCGGCCACACUGGGACUGAGACACGGCCCAGACUCCUACGGGAGGCAGCAGUAGGGAAUCUUCCGCAAUGGACGAAAGUCUAACGGAGCAACGCCGCGUGAGUGAUGAAGGCUUUCGGGUCGUAAAACUCUGUUGUUAGGGAAGAACAAGUGCUAGUUGAAUAAGCUGGCACCUUGACGGUACCUAACCAGAAAGCCACGGCUAACUACGUGCCAGCCGCCGCAGUAA
rnacentral:rRNA from 1 species